CAGUUAGAAUUUAUAAAAAACAAUUAAAAUGAAUCAAGCAAAAAUUGGUCUAUUCCUAAAUAAAAGAAAAAGUUCACAUUACCUCCCUCAACUUUUGCGAAAGUUUGUUCUCUAAACUCCAAAAUCGAGCAAAACAUCUUCUCCAACUUUUAAAACUGUUCAUCUUACCUCCCUUGCCCUGUUGUAAGUAGUUUUAAAGGUGGUUUUGUUUUUUAUUUUUUUAUUUAUUUCAUCUAAAUCCUUAAAAAAUCAUAGUAAAUCAUAAAAUAGAAAUCUAAUUUUAUUAAACUCCACAUGAGUAGAUCUACAUAGUGAACAUAUAAUAUGAUAUUGUUUAGGAUAAAGUUUUUAUUGUGGCUUUAGAUCUAUGCUUUUCUAUAAUUAAUUGCAUUAAUUCAUAGCUGCAAAUUCUAUGAUCCAAUUGUGAUGAAAUUUUUAUGGUGGGUUAGUUAUUGUAUGAUUCAUGUAUAACUUAGUUAUAGAAAAUAUACAUAACUAAGUUAUACAUGAUCCAAUGAGUAUGAAUUUUUUACUAUAGUUUAAGCAUACA
rnacentral:lncRNA from 1 species